rnacentral:rRNA from 1 species
UGAACGCUGGCGGCGUGCCUAAUACAUGCAAGUCGCGCGAACGGACGAGAAGCUUGCUUCUCUGAUGUUAGCGGCGGACGGGUGAGUAACACGUGGAUAACCUACCUAUAAGACUGGGAUAACUUCGGGAAACCGGAUCUAAUACCGGAUGAUAUUUUGAACCGCAUGGUUCAAAAGUGAAAGACGGUCUUGCUGUCACUUAUAGAUGGAUCCGCGCUGCAUUAGCUAGUUGGUAAGGUAACGGCUUACCAAGGCAACGAUGCAUAGCCGACCUGAGAGGGUGAUCGGCCACACUGGAACUGAGACACGGUCCAGACUCCUACGGGAGGCAGCAGUAGGGAAUCUUCCGCAAUGGGCGAAAGCCUGACGGAGCAACGCCGCGUGAGUGAUGAAGGUCUUCGGAUCGUAAAACUCUGUUAUUAGGGAAGAACAUAUGUGUAAGUAACUGUGCACAUCUUGACGGUACCUAAUCAGAAAGCCACGGCUAACUACGUG